GCACUGCUGAAGAGUCCCAUAAUAGGACGAAACGGCUGUUCACUGC
rnacentral:hammerhead_ribozyme from 1 species